rnacentral:lncRNA from 12 species
GCCGGCUGCACCCCACGCUGCCAGUCCGAGGCUCUAAGAAACACGGCUGGUUUCAGUUCUGCUUUCACCAGCAGCUUCUUUCUGCUCUUUCAGUUGCUCCGCAGCUGUCAUUUGUGGUAUGUGUCACGCCGUGUUCCCGGAAUGAGCGGGACAGAGGCCCCGUUAAGGCCGCACUUGCGCUCUGCACCUCCAACUCCCGGCGGACCUUCCUCAGGGGCUUCAUGACAAUAAGCAGUCUACGCAGACACGUUUUCCCGGUAGUCUCACCGUGACUCGACCCGUUAUGGGGGUUCUAUGGGGCCUCUCAUAGUAGGGCCACCUGGGCAGGAGAGCUGCCCACGGAAGGGGUGACCUCACGCAGCCUUCAGGUGGCCUGCAGGGACGGUGUGACCUGCUGCUCUGAGCUCAGACACGUGCUGAGGACACGUGCUCCCUGCGGUGACUUCAGGGCUAAUUUGGAGUCCCCAGGCCUCACGUUCGCCCUUCGCAAGCCUACCCACCCACUCAGCAGGGAGAUGUGGGGACGGUGCUUUCUCUGCACACACCCCAACUCCGUAGGAUCUUUGGUUUCUCUUUGAAACAGUGAGCGCCCUGUCCGCAGAAGCCGGGCUCAGCUAAACGUCCUCGGCCCCCAAGGGGCAGCGGUUUCAGAGCUCCUGGAUCACACGGCUCCUGAAGGCGGCUGACCCCCCCCCCCCGUCAUUUGCAUCCCUUUGAACUGGAUUUCCUGUCUGUUUAGACUGUAAAAAGUCCUAAGAGAGUCCAACAAACAGAAAUGAGAUCACUGCUUGCCAACGAUCCACAUGAGCGCAGAAUUUUAUGAGGGGAAAAGGAAAACCUGUUUUGACAUAUAAGCAUCAGAAUAAUCCACAUCCAAGUAGGAACCUUUACAAUGACUAUGAGGAAAAUAGAAACAGCCAGGUGCAAGGCUCUGGAAGUCCAGCCCCAGCCCGUGGCCUGUUUCCACCGCUCUCGUCCAAGAGGAAGGAGUCACUGAAGCUGCCAGGGUCCCAGGCCGACCGCGGAGCAAAUCACCCCCACAGCCGCGAGGGCGGCCCAGACUCCUGCUGUCCCCCGGGGGACCUGCCCACGGGCCGCCUCUUCGGGGCCCAGAGACCGGGAGCAAGGUCAGGUGAGAGCAGCUCAGUCCCCAGCGUCCGGGCCCCUGGACGGACGUGUGGUCCCAGCGGAGGUCAAGUGACCUGGGGUCGGCAGCCUGACGGGUGGGCAGCUUGCGUUUCUGACCCACACGGUGAAAAUAAACCCUCUCCCGGGGUCAAGGCCCCAACAGCCUGUCCUCACGCCCCUGUCGCUCCGGGGGUGACGCUGCCCGCAGCCGCCCUCUGCCCGGAGGUGAGAGCCGCACAAUCCAGAGGUGAGCUCGAGUGA